rnacentral:rRNA from 1 species
UACGUAGGGUGCAAGCGUUGUCCGGAAUUAUUGGGCGUAAAGAGCUCGUAGGCGGUUUGUCGCGUCGAAUGUGAAAACCCGGGGCUCAACCCCGGGCCUGCAUUCGAUACGGGCAGACUAGAGUGAUGUAGGGGAGACUGGAAUUCCUGGUGUAGCGGUGAAAUGCGCAGAUAUCAGGAGGAACACCGAUGGCGAAGGCAGGUCUCUGGGCAUUAACUGACGCUGAGGAGCGAAAGCAUGGGGAGCGAACAGG